rnacentral:tRNA from 1 species
GCCCACGUAGCUCAGUGGCAUCGCGGCACUUGUAAGGUGACGGGCAACAGUUAGAUCCUGGUCGUGGGCUCCA